ensembl:lncRNA
CUAGUGUGUUACCUAGCUCUCCCGCGCCUUCUCAUUCUGUUCCUGAACCUGCCUGCUCGUGUAUCGACCUGCCUUUUUAGACUUUGGACCUUCCUUUUUGCCUGCUCCUACUGGAUUGACCUGCCUGUUUGGACUUUGGACCUUCCCUUUUGCCUGCACCUACUCGAUUAGUUUGCUACACAGUGUUUGAAUAAACACUGUUUCUUCACCUGAACUGUUUCUCUUGUCGUGCUAUUGGGUUCUCGUCUGCCAUUUUGUGAAACCUGACAGAUGCAGUAUCUUGUGGAUUGGGAGGGGUAUGGUCUGGAGGAGUGCUCCUGGGUGCCGGCUCGGUUCAUUAUGGACCCUCGGCUCAUUUCCAACUUUCACCGUCUGCAUCCUGGCCAGCCUGCCCCAUCCUCACUUCUGCCCUCUGCGGGCCCAUCUGCUGGUGGACCUUUUGAUCCUCUGGUUAGGGGUGGCAUCGAUGUGGCUGCCUCAUCCUCUUCAUCUUCCUCUUCUGCUGCGGAGGACAUGGACUCUGCUGCCUCUGAGGAAUUUUAGCCCUCCCCCGGUCCCCCUCCAUCCUCCAAGCUCGGGCUGGGACGUCUGGGGCCGUCCCUUGGAGGGGGGGAGCUUUCCCGCAACUCCUGAUCUAAUCUACAACACUGAUCCUGCCUGUUUCCGACCUCUCGCCUGUCUGACCACCCGCCUGUCGUCGAGUCCCUGCCGGCCUGUCUGCUUCCUGGUCUCCUGCCCCUCGCCUACCUGUCUGCCCUCCCGUUGCCGACCCCUUGCCUGCUCGCUCCUUGUCUUUCUCCGGUUAUCUUGGAUUCGGUUUCUGGGCAAUAAAACUGUUGAACCCUUCCAACACUGGUCUCGGUCUGUGCUGUUCUUGGGUCCAACCUCACGCCCCAUUACAUGGAGAGGCAGCCAGAAAUUCAACCGCACAUCACCAAGACAAGAUUGAGACCUGACGUCAUCUUGGUCUCAGAGGCCUCAUACAACUAGUCUUGCUGGAGCCGACAGUUCCAUGGGAUGAGAGGAUGGAGGAGGCUCAAGAAAGAAAGAGGGAGAAGUACCAGGAGCAGGUGGAGGAUUGUCGGAG